AGCAGCCGCGGUAAUUCCAGCUCCAAUAGCGUAUAUUAAAGUUGUUGCAGUUAAGAAGCUCGUAGUUGAAUUUCGGGGUUAGUAGGUUGGUCAUGCCUCUGGUAUGUACUGGUCUCACUGAUUCCUCCUUCCUGAUGAACCUUAAUGCCAUUAAUUUGGUGUUUUGGGGAAUUUGGACUGUUACUUUGAAAAAAUUAGAGUGUUUAAAGCAAGCUAACGCUUGAAUACAUUAGCAUGGAAUAAUGAAAUAGGACGUUCGAUCCUAUUUUGUUGGUUUCUAGGAUUGACGUAAUGAUUAAUAGGGAUAGUUGGGGGCAUUAGUAUUCAAUUGUCAGAGGUGAAAUUCUUGGAUUUAUUGAAGACUAACUACUGCGAAAGCAUUUGCCAAGGAUGUUUUCAUUAAUCAAGAACGAAAGUUAGGGGAUCGAAGACGAUCAGAUACCGUCGUAGUCUUAACCAUAAACUAUGCCGACUAGGGAUCGGAUGAUGUUAAUUUUUUAAUGACUCAUUCGGCGCCUUACG
rnacentral:rRNA from 1 species